AGCGUAGGCGGCGUGGUAAGUCAGAUGUGAAAUCCCGGGGCUCAACCCCGGAACUGCAUCCGAUACUGCCAUGCUUGAGGGUUGGAGAGGUAGCUGGAAUUCUCGGUGUAGCAGUGAAAUGCGUGGAUAUCGAGAGGAACACUCGUGGCGAAGGCGAGCUACUGGACAACAUCUGACGCUGAGGCUCGAAGGCUAGGGGAGCAAAAG
rnacentral:rRNA from 1 species